rnacentral:snRNA from 1 species
GUGCUCAUGUAGGUAGCACAUAUACUAAAAUUGGAACAAUACAGAAAAAAUUAGCAUGGUCCCCAGGCAAGAAUGACAUGCAAAUUCAUGAAGCAUUCUAUAUUUUU